rnacentral:rRNA from 1 species
ACGGCUCAGUAACACGUGGAUAACCUGCCCUUGGGUCCGGCAUAACCCCGGGAAACUGGGGAUAAUUCCGGAUAACGCACAUAUGCUGGAAUGCUUUAUGCGUAAAAUGGAUUCGUCUGCCCAAGGAUGGGUCUGCGGCCUAUCAGGUAGUAGUGGGUGUAAUGUACCUACUAGCCUACAACGGGUACGGGUUGUGAGAGCAAGAGCCCGGAGAUGGAUUCUGAGACAUGAAUCCAGGCCCUACGGGGCGCAGCAGGCGCGAAAACUUUACAAUGCGGGAAACCGUGAUAAGGGGACACCGAGUGCCAGCAUCAUAUGCUGGCUGUCCAGGUGUGUAAAAUACACCUGUUAGCAAGGGCCGGGCAAGACCGGUGCCAGCCGCCGCGGUAACACCGGCGGCCCGAGUGGUGAUCGUGAUUAUUGGGUCUAAAGGGUCCGUAGCCGGUUUGGUCAGUCCUCCGGGAAAUCUGACGGCUUAACCGUUAGGCUUUCGGGGGAUGCUGCCAGGCUUGGAACCGGGAGAGGUAAGAGGUACUACAGGGGUAGGAGUGAAAUCUUGUAAUCCCUGUGGGACCACCUGUGGCGAAGGCGUCUUACCAGAACGGGUUCGACGGUGAGGGACGAAAGCUGGGGGCACGAACCGGAUUAGAUACCCGGGUAGUCCCAGCCGUAAACGAUGCUCGCUAGGUGUCAGGCAUGGCGCGACCGUGUCUGGUGCCGCAGGGAAGCCGUGAAGCGAGCCACCUGGGAAGUACGGCCGCAAGGCUGAAACUUAAAGGAAUUGGCGGGGGAGCAC